rnacentral:misc_RNA from 1 species
AACGCACGAGACCUGCGGACCUGCGGAGGGAUCGUUAGUGAACGCCCUCACGGGCUUAUAACUAUUCCAAACCUCUGUGAACCGUGCCCUUCGGGGCUAUUUUACAAACAUGGUGUAAUGAACGUCAUAUAUCAUAACAAAACAAAACUUUUAGCAAUGGAUCUCU